GUAUCAGUCUCUGCCCGGCCCUAAUGGCCGCAGGUUCCAAUCUGUGUGCCAAUUUUCAAGACUUUUUAAGCACGUUAAGGGCCCCAAAAGCCCCCGAGACGUUGGAAAAAAAUAAUAAUAAUAAUAAUAAUAAUAAUAAUAAUAAUAAAAAAUAAUCCUAAGGAAAACAAUAGGCCUCUCGCCCUUUGGGCUUGAGCCCUAAUUAAAGCUGCAAGCAGCGAUGAACGGGCCCUCGCACCCGGGCUCACCGGCAGCGAGUGGCUUUAGUUAAUAGGUGAACGUUGAGAAAUAUGCAUUUAAACUCAUAAAUAUAAGUGCAAUAUAUCAAAGUUUAUUCCAUAUGUGUGCCAAUCUUCCUGUUGCCAACAGGUGGCGCUAUCGUUAUAAUGGAAUAAUGGCCUUCAGAUGUGUUCAAGCCAGGACCCUUAUCACACAUGUGAAGUUUGGGCAAGAUCGGACAUUUUAUGCCUGAGUUAUAACAUCUUUUAAUCCCAUGGCGAGACAUCGAACUUCGUCACGGCGCCAUGGACACGCCCUUUAACAAAAACUCAAGAUCUCCACAAGUUAACAUUGCACAGUCCUUCAGAUUAGACUGACCACAAAAAAGACAUUGAUGUCAUAAAAUCUCUAGGAGUAGUUUGUCGCAGUGUAAAAUAUGUCACUUCCUGUUGCCAAUAGGUGGCGCUAUGACUAUAACUGAAUAUGGGCAUGUAGAUCUGUUCAGGUCAAGAGUCUCAUCCAACAUGUGAAGUUUGGGGCAGAUUGGACAUUGUAUGUCUGAGUUACAGCAACUUCCUUUUUCAUGGCGAAACAUCGAAAUUUGUCAGGCCGCCAUGGACCCGCCCUUUAACGAAACCUCAAGUCCUACGCAAUUUAUUAUCGCAAAGGGCUUUAGAUUACACUGACCAAGUUUGGUGUUGAUCUGAAUAAAUCUCUAGGAGGAGUUCGUUAAAGUACAACCCCUGAAAAUGGCAAAAACAACAGCAAUUUUGAAGGGAAAAUUCAAAAUAACCGACUUCCUGUUGGGAUCCGGAUUUCGUACCAAGAGACUUUUUUGUAGGUAUUGGAGUGUUACAUGUGUGUACCAAUUUUUGUACAUGUACGUGAAACAUAGCUCGAGGCGCACUCCGUUGAAUGUGUAUAGGUGGCGCUAUAGAGCCAUUCUGCCACACCCGCUGGAAUAUUGGCCUGCAGAUCUGUUCAGGCCAGGACUCUUAUCACACAUGUGAAGUUUGGGGAAGAUCGGACAUCUUAUGCCUGAGUUAUAACAUCUUUUAUUCGCAUGGCGAGACAUCGAACUUCGUCGCGGCGCCAUGAACAAGCCUUUUAACGAAAACUCAAGAUCUUCACAACUGAACAUCGCACAGGCCUUUAGAUUAGACUGACCACAAAAAAGACAUUGAUGUCAUAAAAUCUCUAGGAGUAGUUUGUCGCAGUGUAAAAUAUGUCACUUCCUGUUGCCAAUAGGUGGCGCUAUGACUAUAACUGAAUAUGGGCAUGUAGAUCUGUUCAGGUCAAGAGUCUCAUCCAACAUGUGAAGUUUGGGGCAGAUUGGACAUUGUAUGUCUGAGUUACAGCAACUUCCUUUUUCAUGGCGAAACAUCGAAAUUUGUCAGGCCGCCAUGGACACGCCCUUUAACGAAAUAUAAAGAUCUUCACAAUUUAACAUCGCAAAGGGCUUAAGAUUACACUGACCAGGUUUGGUGUUGAUCUGAAUAAAUCUCUAGGAGGAGUUCGUUAAAGUACAACCCCUGAAAAUGGCAAAAACAACACCAAUUUUGAAGGGAAAAUUCAAAAUAACCGACUUCCUGUUGGGAUCCGGAUUUCGUACCAAGAGACUUUUUUGUAGGUAUUGGAGUGUUACAUGUGUGUACCAAUUUUUGUACAUGUACGUGAAACAUAGCUCGAGGCGCACUCCGUUGAAAGUGUAUAGGUGGCGCUAUAGAGCCAUUCUGCCACACCCGGUGGAAUAUUGGCCUGCAGAUCUGUUCAGGUCAGGACUCUUAUCACACAUGUGAAGUUUGGGGAAGAUCGGACAUUUUAUGCCUGAGUUAUAACAUCUUUUAUUCCCAUGGCGAGACAUCGAACUUCGUCGCGGCGGCAUGAACAAGCCUUUUAACGAAAACUCAAGAUCUUCACAACUGAACAUCGCACAGGCCUUUAGACUAGACUGACCUCAAAAAAGACAUUGAUGUCAUAAAAUUUCUAGGAGUAGUUCGUGGCAGCGUAAAAUAUGUCACUUCCUGUUGCCAAUAGGUGGCGCUAUGACUAUAACUGAAUAUGGGCAUGUCAAUCUGUUCAGGUUCGGAGUCUCAUCAAACAUGUGAAGUUUGGGGCAGAUUGGACAUUGUAUGUGUGUGUUAUAGCAACUUCAUUUUUCAUGGCGAAUCAUCGAAAUUCGCCAGGCCGCCACGGACACGCCCUUCAACGAAAACUCAAGAUCUUCGCAAUUUAACAUCGCAAAGGCCUUUAGAUUAGGCAUACCAAAUUUGGUGUUGAUUUGAAGAACUCUCUAGGAGGAGUUCGUUAAAAUACAACACAUGGAAAUGAACAAAAUUACACAAAAUAUGCUCAUAAUAUAAAAAAUAACCGACUUCCUGUUGGGUUUAGAAUUUCGCUCCAAGAGUCUUUUUUGUAGGUAUUGGUGUGUUACAUAUGUGUGCCAAUUUUCGUGCAUGUAUGUGAAACAUAGCUGGAAGGCUGUUGAUUUUCUUGGUAUAGGUGGCGCUGUCGAGCCAUUUUGCCACACCCUCUUCUGAAUCCUAUAUCAGACGAAAAUUUUCACCAGGUUUGACGCGUGUGCAAAGUUUCAUGACUUUUUGAGCAUGUUAAAGCCCUCAAAAAUGCGAUUCAUUCGGGAGAAGAAGAAGAAGAAGAAUAAUAAUAAUAAAAAACAAAGCAGAUACAAGAGGGUCCUCGCACCUCGGUGCUCGGGCCCUAAUAAAAAACAAAGCAGAUACAAGAGGGUCCUCGCACCUCGGUGCUCGGGCCCUAA